GGGAACGUGCCCUUCGGUUCGGAAUAACUCAGGGAAACUUGAGCUAAUACCGGAUACGCCCUUUUGGGGAAAGGUUUACUGCCGAAGGAUCGGCCCGCGUCUGAUUAGCUUGUUGGUGAGGUUACGGCUCACCAAGGCGACGAUCAGUAGCUGGUCUGAGAGGAUGAUCAGCCACACUGGGACUGAGACACGGCCCAGACUCCUACGGGAGGCAGCAGUGGGGAAUAUUGGACAAUGGGGGCAACCCUGAUCCAGCCAUGCCGCGUGAGUGAUGACGGCCUUAGGGUUGUAAAGCUCUUUUCUCCGGGACGAUAAUGACGGUACCGGAGGAAUAAGCCCCGGCUAACUUCGUGCCAGCAGCCGCGGUAAUACGAAGGGGGCUAGCGUUGCUCGGAAUCACUGGGCGUAAAGGGCGCGUAGGCGGCUGAUUUAGUCGAGGGUGAAAGCCCGUGGCUCAACCACGGAAUGGCCUUCGAUACUGGUUGGCUUGAGACCGGAAGAGGACAGCGGAACUGCGAGU
rnacentral:rRNA from 1 species